UCUAUUCGAUGAUCGAUCAACACAGUGCUUUGAUGUUGAUGGAGAAGAAAAAAAAGAAAAACUGUCUCUCUCUCGACGAGAGAGGUUAAAUUUAUACAGGCAAGUUCUGUUUAACAGGAGAGAGAGAGGAGGGGGAGGGGAGCAGGUUAGGGGAACAGAUUUCUGGCGAGAUUCGAGCGAAUUCGAGGCGAUCGUGCGGGCGAGGACAAAGUGGGGACAAAGCUUUGGAACGAAUUUGACAACUUUAUUGGACCGGAUCCAACCAACCUUUCCUUCUUCGCGGUUUUCUAUAUAUGCGCGCCACGUAUAUCGUACAAACUACCACUCUCCGAUAUUCCACAAGUAACGAAAUCAUACUUGUGGAUAAUUAUCGAAGUGGAAGCCACCAAAUGGGCCAUCAUUUUGUAAUUAAUGAUAAUGAAACGAAGUUCUGAAUGAAUAUUGAAUAUUUCUUAAUGACGUAAGACAGUUUCCAGAGAGAAGUCAAUGAAGACUGGAUUAUGUAAUGAAAUCAUCGAGGAUAAUUAUCAGAGUGGAAGCCACAAAGUGGGCCAUCAUUUUGUAAUUACUGAUAAUGAUAAUGAAACGAAGUUCUGAAUGAAUAUUGAAUAUUUCUUAAUGACGUAAGAAUAUUUUCUUUUUCCUGAUAGUUUCCAGAGAGAAGUCAAUGAAGAUUGGAUUAUGGUAAUUAUAUGUACGUAUCUUUCUAUAUAUAUAUUUUCAUUGUCAUUGAAAUUUUUGAAAUUUUCACAUUUCAAAGUAACGAAAUCAUACGGAUAAUUAUCAAAGUGGAAGCCACCAAGUUGUAAUUAAUGAUCGCUAAUGAUAAUGAAAUGAAGUUCUGAAUGAACACUGAAUAUUUCUUAAUAAUGUAAGACAGUUUUUCCUGACAGUUUCCAGAGAGAAGUCAAUGAAGACUAUGUAUCAUCGAAAUCAUCGAGCAUACGGAUAAUUAUCAAAGUGGAAGCCACAAAGUGAGCCAUCAUUUUGUAAUUAAUGAUCGCUAAUGAUAAUGAAAUGAAGUUCUGAAUGAAUACUGAAUUUCUUAAUGACGUAACGAAAUUAUACGGAUAAUUAUCAGAGUGGAAGCCAUAAAAGAGAAGCGUUCUCCUGGAGGAAGUCAAUGAAGACUGGAUUAUUGUAAUUAGAUUUUCCAGAGAGAAGUCAUUGAAGAGUGGAUUAUUGUAAUUAUACGUACAUAUCUUUCUAUAUAUAUAUUUUUUCAUUGUCAUCGAAAUUUUCUUCACAUUCAAAUGAAAUCAUCAAGCAUACGGAUAAUUAUCAAAAUGGAAGCCACAAUUAAUGAUAAUGAAACGAAGUUCUGAACACUGAAUAUUAUCUAAGGACGUAAGAAUAUUUCCUUUCUUCUGAUAGAGAGAAGCGUUCUUCUGGAGGACAUCAAUGGAGGCUGGAUCAUCGUAAUUACAUUAACGAAAUCAUCGAGCAUACGAAUAAUUAUCAAAGUGGAUUCACAAAGUGGGCCAUCAUUUUGUAAUUAAUGAUAAUGAUCAAAACGAAGUUCUGAAUACUGAAUAUUUCUUAAUGACGUAAGACAGUUUCUCCUGAUAAAGAGAAGCAUUUUCCUGAAGGACGAAUGCUCGAGAUUGGAUUAUCAUAAUUACAUAUACGUAUCUUUCUAUGUAUAUUUUUAUUAUCAUCGAAAUUUUCUUCUUGCAACAGAUUUGAUCCCUCUUGAUUCAUUUUAAAAAUAUUAUACUUAUACUUUGUUAAAAAUUUCAAGAAAGAGUAUUGAUUUAAUAAUAAAUUACAUUUUUAAUAUUAUCUUUAACUCCAUCCAGUGUUGUAAUAAAUUACUCAUUGAAAAGGUAAUUUAGAAAAAAUUAACAUUAAACCAUUUUCCAUUCGAAGUCUUAAACAUCUACUUUACUAGAGAUUUACUUUCGAAGAAAAAGUAUCACUGUAUUAACAAUACCAUUAUAUCUCUCUAUCCAUUAAUUUAUCUAAUUAAGAAAAUCUGACAACGGUCAUUAAAUCCAAAGAAAUUAAUAAAAUUCACGAUUCCUUCGCGAAAAAAAUACAUCCAUUUUCCCCCAAAUUUGAAACAUCAAAUUUUCACUCUCAAUCCCAACCAACAACUACAAUGAAACCAAGUUAGAUCCUUCUGACUCGCAGACACAACACCCGACCAUAUCUCGAACAAUAACAACUGAUAAUAUUCGACCUCGAUACUCGAGUUCGUUCUCAACGGAGAAAGAACACGAAUAAAUUUACCAAGAACAUGAGAGAGAGAGAAGAAUUGGAUUAAGCAAGAAGGAGGAAGUAGAGCAGUCGAUGGACGGACGGACAGACGUUGCUAAUUGACUCUCCUCCACUUCUCGAUUUUUUUUCUCCAUUACACCACGAUGCUUUCCUGCUCGUCGAAACGCGCCCCUUCAUUCUUCUUCUCGACGAAGAUUGCGCGUUUCCCGCGAUGUCAGCUGAUCGUUUUUACGCUCAAAAAGAGUUUAAGAGAGAGAAUGAAGUGAUAAAAAUGAUAUCGAUAAAUAAAUA